CCCCCAGACUCCUACGGGAGGCAGCAGUGAGGAAUAUUGGUCAAUGGGCUUACGCCUGAACCAGCCAAGUCGCGUGAGGGAAGACUGCCCUAUGGGUUGUAAACCUCUUUUGUCAGGGAGCAAUUGGCGCUACGUGUAGCGUUAUCGAGAAUACCUGAAGAAAAAGCAUCGGCUAACUCCGUGCCAGCAGCCGCGGUAAUACGGAGGAUGCGAGCGUUAUCCGGAUUUAUUGGGUUUAAAGGGUGCGCAGGCGGAUUUUUAAGUCAGGGGUAAAAUCGUGGGGCUCAACCUCAGCCAGCCGUUGAAACUGGGGAUCUAGAGUGUGCGAGAGGUAUGCGGAAUGCGUGGUGUAGCGGUGAAAUGCAUAGAUAUCACGCAGAACCCCGAUUGCGAAGGCAGCAUACCGGGGCACAACUGACGCUCAGGCACGAAAGCGUGGGUAUCGAACAGGAUUAGAUACCCGGGUAA
rnacentral:rRNA from 1 species